UACGGAGGAUGCGAGCGUUAUCCGGAUUUAUUGGGUUUAAAGGGUGCGUAGGCGGACGCUUAAGUCAGCGGUAAAAUUGCGGGGCUCAACCUCGUCGAGCCGUUGAAACUGGGUGCCUUGAGUGGGCGAGAAGUACGCGGAAUGCGUGGUGUAGCGGUGAAAUGCAUAGAUAUAACUUAGAACUCCGAUAGCGAAGGCAGCUUACCAGACUGCGACUGACGCUGAAGCACGAGAGCGUGGGUAGCGAACAGG
rnacentral:rRNA from 1 species